GAGGUGAUAUGACAGUAAUCAAGGGGAUGCACCCAUUCAUAAUGAUGAUCAUUAUAGCGGUAAGGAUGACGAUUGGAAUGAUCUAGCUGCAGACGUUGAUGAUGAUCACGAUGGUGGGUUAAAUUGGCUUGCGAUGUCGUUUACAGUGAAAAAGAUGACCCGCAUGUAAACUACGAAUAUGCAGACAAUCAUGAUAAGGAACUUGAUUUUAUUGAUUAUUCGAAGCACUUUCCUGCAGAUAACAAUUGGAAAAAUCAGUAUGUUGUGGAUUGGACUGAGUUCGAUGUUAGACGGACCAAUAUCAA
rnacentral:lncRNA from 1 species